AUGGGAUCACCACCCGAAUACGCCUACCCCUAGAAAUAGCUAUCUGCAUGCAUCACAAAUUUACUCGCCGGUGACGUAAGUAAACGGGCCACCAACGUCCGGAUAGCAAUAAUUACUCCAUAUGCCAACCACAGUGAUUUCCCCACUACCCCGCAACUCAUUCCGGUCACUAUUAUCCAACCGUGACACAAUUGACAAUCGUUCCCCCUCCUGACAGCUCCAUCCGUUGAGUGGAGCGGACGAAUCGAGAAAUGAGGGCAUUGGGAUGACAGCAGAAGUGAGCGAUGGCUUUGCUAAGCUCACAAGCAGACCGAGAAAGCGAUCCGGUGCACGACGACAGCGUAAUCGGGCAAAAGUGCAGGAUGCUGGAAAGGAUAGAACUGACGAUCCAAGCACUUCUACGGAAGCUGGAAAAAUUACCAGAUCGAGACUGCUACACUCGCUCUGAUGGAGAAAAUCAGCAAUGCAGGAUUCAUAUUGCCUUAAUUCAGGAGCCAGAACAAAUUUUCUGCACUAAACCAAAUAAACUACCAAUUAUUCUUAGCUAAUGCUGGUACUCGGCCGAGGACCUUAGUUAUUUGUCAUAAAAAUGUUAAUUAUAUAUUUUCCCCAGAGUUAUCAACGUCGGAUGCAACAGUGGUGGGACAGGGAGACGAUGGAGCAUACCUGGCAUCACUUCAUCUGCCUUUGGACUCUCCAACACCGCCACCCACCGCAUCGUUUGGGUUCCGCGCCAUAACAGAGUAAAGGGAACUGAAAGGGCAGACGAUUUGGCAGUGAAAGCCAGAGGACUGCCGUCAAUUAACUUGGUUAACCCGAAGCCUUUCGGGACGACGCAGUCCGAGUUAAGGAAAUGGGCGACGAAUGUGCAUGGAACAUUGUGGAAUAGUGAAACGGUCGGUAGGACGACGAAAAUCCUAUGGAGGGAUCCAGAUCGUAAGAAGACGAGGCUAUUGUAUUACAGAAAGGAAGUAAGAAGGAGGUCAGUAUAACUAUUGGUAUCAUAACGGGACACAUAGGACUCACUUAUGUAAAAUUGGUGCGGCAAAUGAUAGCAUCUGUAUGGCAUGCGGGCAAGAUGAUGAAACGUUGGAGCAUUUCCUUUGUCAUUGCCCGGCUUUCGCUUCUAACAGAUACCGGCACUUAGGUGAAGACACAAUACCAGACAUGAACCAACUUAGGGAAGCGGUAUUGAAAGCAAUUAAGGAUUUUAUAAGUAACACAGAAUUCCUAACUUAAAAUUUUCAUUUUAGAGGUUGCUUUAUAGUUUUUAGAGCGCACAACAAGCCGAAUUCUGGUUAGGUUUAUGUCCAUAGUGACAUGGGGCGGAUUAAUAUCUGCACCCUCUUUUCAACCUUACCAAACCUAUUAAUUCCACCCAAAAAAAAAAAACAGUUGCUCUACUAAACGUAUGUUGUGUAUGUUACUGUUGAAAAUUAAAAAAGUUUAAAAAUGAUUUCAACCACGUUUUUUAUUCGUAACUUGUGUUUGCAUUAGAAUGUACUACGUCUAUCAUUUCAGUUGCCAAAACUGAAAUAAUUUUUUGCAGUUGUAGCAUAAUUGGCUUAAUAUAUUUUUUUGUCGUAAUGUGUACUUCAGUCUCUAAAAUUAGCCUUUGAGGGAAGCGGACGUGUUUCUCAAUCUGUCUUGGAAAUGGAACUACAUAUUACGCAAAAAGUUCAAAGUCUUUCAGUAAGCUCAAAACGAAAUUCGAAGGCCCAACAUCUGCGGUGGUGGCAUCAGACCGUAGUAUGUUAUCUGCCCCUCCUAGAGGUGUGGGUGCCUUGGCACCUGAAGUCGGGUGCAAUUCUUCAAGCGCACAACCAUUCGUGAGACUAACAAAUAAGGAAGAGACUGAUAAUCCAGAGGGAUGAGCAGCAAAAGUCGACUUUUGCUAACUACGUGAAAAUUUCUAAAAUCACAGGGUGAUACAAAGUAAUAAAAACUAAAAUUACGGAAAUUGUCAACAGUUUUUAGCUUCGGUCGCCAGAAAAUUA